rnacentral:lncRNA from 1 species
AUAUAGUUUAAAAGUGGGUCUUCAGAGCUCCAGGUCAAACAGCAGGCUCUUUAUUUCCAUUUCAGGAAUCCCCGUUGCCUCCUUUAAGAGACAAGAAGACCCACAAAUCCUGUCUCGCUGUUCCUAAGGUGAUGGAAAUCAAACUAACAGUGGUUUAAGCCUUGAUGAAACUGAGCUAUGAUGAAACAUGGCACGAGGUGGUUUGGGAAGGGCUGCACAGGGGAAGAUGGAGCACAGCAACAGUGGGCUGAAGAUCUUUGCGUGUCUAGUCUGCUGCUGCUGCUGCUAAGUCGCUUCAGUCGUGUCCGACUCUGUGUGACCUCAUAGACAGCAGCCCAUUAGGCUCCUCUGUCCCUGGGAUUCUCCAGGUAAGAAUACUGGAGUGGGUUGCCAUUUCCUUCUCCAAUGCAUGAAAGUAAAAAGUGAAAGUGAAGUCGCUCAGUCCUGUCCAACUCUUAGCGACCCCAUGGACUGCAGCCUACCAGGCUCCUCCGUCCAUGGAUUUUCCAGGCAAGAGUACUGGAGUGGGAUGCCAUUG